rnacentral:rRNA from 1 species
AGCAGCCGCGGUAAUUCCAGCUCCAAUAGCGUAUAUUAAAGCUGUUGCAGUUAAAAAGCUCGUAGUUGAACUUCGGGAUCAAUACGUCGGUCGUGCUUCGGUACGUACUGGCGUAAUUGAUUUCUCCCUUCUGACGAACCAUGAUGUCAUUAACUUGGUGUCAUGGGAAAUCAGGACUGUUACUUUGAAAAAAUUAGAGUGUUUAAAGCAGGCUCACGCUUGAAUACAUUAGCAUGGAAUAAUGAAAUAGGACGUUCGAUCCUAUUUUGUUGGUUUUUAGGAUCAACGUAAUGAUUAAUAGGGAUAGUUGGGGGCAUUAGUAUUCAAUUGUCAGAGGUGAAAUUCUUGGAUUUAUUGAAGACUAACUACUGCGAAAGCAUUUGCCAAGGAUGUUUUCAUUAAUCAAGAACGAAAGUUAGGGGAUCGAAGACGAUCAGAUACCGUCGUAGUCUUAACCAUAAACUAUGCCGACUAGGGAUCGGAUGAUGUUAAUUUUUAAUGA